ensembl:snoRNA SNORA70 Small nucleolar RNA SNORA70
CUGCAGCCAGUUAAGUUGACCGAGCUCUUUUCCUCAUGGGGGCUUGGUGUGCAAUGGCUGAAAACAGCAGGUUCCUUGGUAGUGUAUGCAGCCUAUUUCUUGUAUGGGUUGCCUCUAAGGGACCUUGGAGAUAGCC